rnacentral:rRNA from 1 species
CUGCGCUGCAAGUGGCAAUCGCGAUUAUUGGGCCUAAAGCGUCCGUAGUUGGUCGAGUAAGUCUUUUGUUAAACUGCACCGCAUAACGUUGCAUAUGCAAAAGAUACUGCUUGACUUGGGACCGGAGAGAAGUUAGGGGUAUUCGUAGGGGAGCGGUAAAAUGUGAUAAUCCUGCGAAGACCACCUGUGGCGAAGGCGCCUAACUAGAACGGCUCCGACAAUGAGGGACGAAAGCCAGGGGAGCGAAACGGAUUAGAUACCCGAGUAGUCC